GAGUUUGAUCGUGGCUCAGAUUGAACGCUGGCGGCAGGCCUAACACAUGCAAGUCGAGCGGAUGAAGGGAGCUUGCUCCUGGAUUCAGCGGCGGACGGGUGAGUAAUGCCUAGGAAUCUGCCUGGUAGUGGGGGAUAACGCCCGGAAACGGGCGCUAAUACCGCAUACGUCCUGAGGGAGAAAGUGGGGGAUCUUCGGACCUCACGCUAUCAGAUGAGCCUAGGUCGGAUUAGCUAGUUGGUGGGGUAAAGGCCUACCAAGGCGACGAUCCGUAACUGGUCUGAGAGGAUGAUCAGUCACACUGGAACUGAGACACGGUCCAGACUCCUACGGGAGGCAGCAGUGGGGAAUAUUGGACAAUGGGCGAAAGCCUGAUCCAGCCAUGCCGCGUGUGUGAAGAAGGUCUUCGGAUUGUAAAGCACUUUAAGUUGGGAGGAAGGGCAGUAAGUUAAUACCUUGCUGUUUUGACGUUACCAACAGAAUAAGCACCGGCUAACUUCGUGCCAGCAGCCGC
rnacentral:rRNA from 1 species